rnacentral:lncRNA from 1 species
AGAUGAUCCCGCUUACAUUUCUAAAGUCACCUCAGAGUGCUACAGGAAGUAUGUUGAAGCCCCACCAGAUGCUGUUCUCCACCAGAAGCUUAAACUAAAACAGGCUGACACCACUACUGGAGUACUCUCAUGUCUUGACAGAGAAUGCACAGAAUCAGACCUUAAAGAAAUAACUGCAUGUUGGGAACAAACAUUUCUACACAAAGGUUCGGACACAGCUCUGGUCAACUACAUCUUCUCUCAUAUCAUGUUAAGAAAUAAGGGAGCAAUCUCUCCUCUUGAUAGCAAGCAUUUAACUGCAUUUAAACAGAACACGCCCCCAGUCUCCACAGAGUCACCUGAGCCCUACAUGUUAGCCCUCCUCUUGCACUGGCCUACAGAGAGUGAGGACAACUGUGUCUUUAACCUCAGUCAAUUAAUAGAGCGUAUGAAAAACAUGUAUGAAAAAGCACAUAAGAAACACCUUCGAUCAAGGUACCUCCGGCCUCUGUUUUUCAUUGGAAAAGGUCAAGAUCUGGACAGAAUUGUUCACAGAAAGGUCCUUGAGGGACUGAUUCUUCAGGGAAAUGAGGAAGCGAUACAAGAUUGGAGCAGAGAGAUGAUUUUCAAAGAUCCCAGGGUCCAAGAACACCUUCUUAAAGUUCAUGGGGAAACACGAAACUACAGAGUCUAUGCAACUAUUGGAGGCACCAGCAUUGAGGUGGAUGCAAACCUCCGAAACAGCCUCUGGAGAAAAUGCCAAGUUUCCUUCUACCUUGGAUUUACCAUCAAAGGUCCUGUAGCCUUUGCCAUCCACACUAAAACUGCAGAAAAGGGAAUCUCAAGGAUGGAUACCUCAGAGUUUGGAGCUUGUUCCGGUGAAAUGGUAAGUUUUUUUGUUUUUGCUCUUUGCUGUAUUUUAUAUCAAUUUUGA